UAGGGAAUAUUGGACAAUGGGGGCAACCCUGAUCCAGCCAUGCCGCGUGAGUGAAGAAGGCCCUCGGGUUGUAAAGCUCUUUUGUCCGGAAAGAAAAGCAUUCGGUGAAUACCCGGAUGUUCUGACGGUACCGGAAGAAUAAGCACCGGCUAACUUCGUGCCAGCAGCCGCGGUAAUACGAAGGGUGCAAGCGUUACUCGGAAUUACUGGGCGUAAAGCGUGCGUAGGUGGUUGUUUAAGUCUGAUGUGAAAGCCCUGGGCUCAACCUGGGAAUGGCAUUUGAAACUGGGCAGCUAGAGUGCGGUAGAGGGUAGUGGAAUUCCCGGUGUAGCAGUGAAAUGCGUAGAGAUCGGGAGGAACAUCUGUGGCGAAGGCGACUGCCUGGACCAGCACUGACACUGAGGCACGAAAGCGUGGGGAGCAAACA
rnacentral:rRNA from 1 species